AGAGAGAGACAUGCGCGCAUAUCAAUAAGCGGAGGAAAAGAAACUAACUAGGAUUCCCUUAGUAACGGCGAGUGAAGCGGGAAGAGCUCAAAUUUGAAAUCUUCAAGGUUCUACCUUGACGAAUUGUAGUUUAAAGAAGUGUUUUCUGUUGGAGUUUUGGUAAAAGUUCUUUGGAAUAGGACAUCAUAGAGGGUGAGAAUCCCGUAUUUGACCAUUAUCUUCCAACUGUGUGAUACACUUUCAAAGAGUCGGAUUGUUUGGGAAUGCAGUCCAAAAUGGGUGGUAAAUUUCAUCUAAAGCUAAAUAUUGGCGAGAGACCGAUAGCGAACAAGUACCGUGAGGGAAAGAUGAAAAGAACUUUGAAAAGAGAGUUAAACAGUACGUGAAAUUGUCAAAAGGGAAGCGUUUGACACCAGUGUUGUUUUCUCGAAAAUCAAUUCAUGAUGGCUUGAUGCUAGAUUGUUAUGACUUUAUCAGCAUACUGUCUAGUUUUCUUGUCUUUGUGAAUGCACUUUUCGUUUAACAAGUCAACAUCAAUUUCUUUUGCUGUAAAAGGGUAAGAGGAAGGUGGCUUCAACUUCGGUUGAAGUGUUUAUAGCCUUUUACCUCUGCAGUCGGAGAGAUUGAGGUCUGCAGCGUAGACUCUUCGGGGUUAGAUACAUUUGUGCUAAGUUAUAGCUUUUCAUAGACAACUUGUUGACUAUGUUUAGUCUUGUAGCUUACUCGCUUAUGCUAUUUUACCUACGCUUAGGAUGUUGACAGCAGUAUAGACUGU
rnacentral:rRNA from 1 species